rnacentral:rRNA from 1 species
AUUGAACGCUGGCGGCAUGCUUUACACAUGCAAGUCGAACGGUAACAGGGUGCUUGCACCGCUGACGAGUGGCGAACGGGUGAGUAAUGCGUCGGAACGUGCCGAGUAGUGGGGGAUAACGCAGCGAAAGUUGUGCUAAUACCGCAUACGUACUGAGGUAGAAAGUGGGGGACCUUCGGGCCUCACGCUAUUCGAGCGGCCGACGUCUGAUUAGCUAGUAGGUGAGGUAAAGGCUCACCUAGGCGACGAUCAGUAGCGGGUCUUAGAGGACGAUCCGCCACACUGGAACUGAGACACGGUCCAGACUCCUACGGGAGGCAGCAGUGGGGAAUCUUGGACAAUGGGCGAAAGCCUGAUCCAGCAAUGCCGCGUGCGUGAAGAAGGCCUUCGGGUUGUAAAGCGCUUUUGUCUGGGAGCAAAUCCUGGCCUCUAAUACAGGUCGGGGAUGAGAGUACCAGAAGAAUAAGGACCGGCUAACUACGUGCCAGCCGCCGCAGUAA